AAGUCGUAACAAGGUUUCCGUAGGUGAACCUGCGGAAGGAUCAUUAAUGGAACUGCUUUGGAAUCCGUAGGAUUUCCUCAGGAGUGCUCCACUGUCCUGUGUUGUGUGACUGUGUAUAUGUGUGUGAGUGCAUCAUCUGUGGUGCACUCAUAUCAUCAUUGUUUACCAAUCAACUGUAACCUCAUCUAAUUCUUACAAGCAUGCUCAGCAAUGAGUGUGCACAACAAUCGAAAACUGCCACCAAUGGAUCACUUGGUUCUC
rnacentral:misc_RNA from 1 species